GGGGCUGUGGUCUAGCUUGGUAUGAUGCGUGGCUGGGGGUCACGUGAUCGGGAGUUCAAAUCUCUCCAGCCCCA
rnacentral:tRNA from 1 species